AGUUCUGAAUGUGAAAAGCCCACGGCCUCAACCGGGGAGGGUCAUUUGGAAAACUGGGGAACUUGAGUGCAGAAAGAAGGAGAGUGGAAUUCCACGUGUAGCGGUGAAAUGCGUAGAGAUGUGGAGGAACACCAGUGGCGAAGGCGACUCUCUGGUCUGUAACUGACGCUGAGGAGCGAAAGCGUGGGGAGCGAACAGGAUUAGAUACCCUGGUAGUCCACGCCGUAAACGAUGAGUGCUAAGUGUUAGAGGGUUUCCGCCCUUUAGUGCUGCAGCUAACGCAUUAAGCACUCCGCCUGGGGAGUACGGUCGCAAGACUGAAACUCAAAGGAAUUGACGGGGGCCCGCACAAGCGGUGGAGCAUGUGGUUUAAUUCGAAGCAACGCGAAGAACCUUACCAGGUCUUGACAUCCUCUGACAACCCUAGAGAUAGGGCGUUCCCUUCGGGGACAGAGUGACAGGUGGUGCAUGGUUGUCGUCAGCUCGUGUCGUGAGAUGUUGGGUUAAGUCCCGCAACGAGCGCAACCCUUGAUCUUAGUUGCCAGCAUUCAGUUGGGCACUCUAAGGUGACUGCCGGUGACAAACCGGAGGAAGGUGGGGAUGACAUCAAAUCAUCAUGCCCCUUAUGACCUGUGCUACACACGUGCUACAAUGGACAGAACACAGGGCUGCGAGACCGCGAGGUUUAGACAAUCCCACAAAUCUGUUCUCACUUCGGAUAGUAGGCUGCAACUCGACUGCGUGAAGCUGGAAUCGCUAGUAAUCUCGGAU
rnacentral:rRNA from 1 species